rnacentral:rRNA from 1 species
GGAUGCCUACGGGGGGCAGCAGUGGGGGAUAUUGCACAAUGGGGGGAGCCCUGAUGCAGCGACGCCGCGUGGGUGAAGGAGCGUUUCGGCGCGUAAAGCCCUAUCGGCAGGGAAGAAGAUGGCGGUACCUGACCAAGAAGCCCCGGCUAACUACGUGCCAGCAGCCGCGGUAAUACGUAGGGGGCAAGCGUUAUCCGGAUUUACUGGGUGUAAAGGGAGCGCAGGCGGCUUGGCAAGUCUGAUGUGAAAGGCUGGGGCUCCACCCCAGGACUGCAUUGGAAACUGUUAGGCUGGAGGGUCGGAGG